rnacentral:tRNA from 1 species
GGGAAAGUGGCUCAGUGGUAAAGCACUUGUCUUGCAUGCAUGAGGCCCUGGGUUCGAUUCCACAGCACCA